rnacentral:rRNA from 1 species
UACGUAGGGUGCGAGCGUUGUCCGGAAUUAUUGGGCGUAAAGAGCUUGUAGGCGGUUUGUCGCGUCUGCUGUGAAAAUCCGGGGCUCAACCCCGGACUUGCAGUGGGUACGGGCAGACUGGAGUGUGGUAGGGGAGACUGGAAUUCCUGGUGUAGCGGUGAAAUGCGCAGAUAUCAGGAGGAACACCGAUGGCGAAGGCAGAUCUCUGGGCCGUAACUGACGCUGAGGAGCGAAAGCGUGGGGAGCGAACAGG